AAAAGUUCCCAAAUCUACAGAAUCUUCUGUCAUCCAAAGUGGUGCUCUUAAUUUGCAUGCUUGCAAACGUAGGAGUUUUAUGACGUUGUUCAGUUGUUUGCCGUGCCAUGUGAAGAACGAGAAAUGGAAUAGGAGGCAAUGAAAAAUCAUCUCGGUCUCAGAAUAUCUUUGGCACUUUGGUUAAUCUGAGUUAAUAUCUAAAUUCUAUCGUCUGCAUAAACGUCUGAGAUGCACCAAAGGAUACUAAACUAAUGACAUAGAGGCAACAUAUUAACAGUGGAUGUUUCCUUGUUACUGACCAACUCAGUGUCAGUUUUCCAAAACAAUAUCUGUAAGAAUAGCUCAUUAGGCUAAGCAUGAGCAGUCUGAAUAGACAGUAAAUAAAGUCACAGACAUACACAAUAUUUGCAAGCUAAAGCUUAAUUUGGGGAUGCAAUUAGGUAAUCAUGAUUAGUACUUAACUUUUGAGUAAU
rnacentral:sRNA from 1 species